GCCGCUCGCCAGGGGUCUCCGGCUGCCCAGUACGCAGCAUGGAGUGAGACAUACCCUUUGAACCUGAUGCGGUUGAUACCGACGUAGGGAGGCCGCUUUAACAGCCU
rnacentral:ncRNA from 2 species